rnacentral:rRNA from 1 species
AGGGUUUGAUUAUGGCUCAGGAUGAACGCUGACAGAAUGCUUAACACAUGCAAGUCUACUUGAUCCUUCGGGUGAUGGUGGCGGACGGGUGAGUAACGCGUAAAGAACUUGCCCUGCAGUCUGGGACAACAUUUGGAAACGAAUGCUAAUACUGGAUAUUAUGUGAGUUUCGCAUGAAAUUCAUAUGAAAGCUAUAUGCGCUGCAGGAGAGCUUUGCGUCCUAUUAGCUAGUUGGUGAGGUAACGGCUCACCAAGGCGAUGAUAGGUAGCCGGCCUGAGAGGGUGAACGGCCACAAGGGGACUGAGACACGGCCCUU